rnacentral:rRNA from 1 species
UUUUAUGGAGAGUUUGAUCCUGGCUCAGGAUGAACGCUGGCGGCGUGCCUAAUACAUGCAAGUCGAGCGAACAGACGAGGAGCUUGCUCCUCUGACGUUAGCGGCGGACGGGUGAGUAACACGUGGAUAACCUACCUAUAAGACUGGGAUAACUUCGGGAAACCGGAGCUAAUACCGGAUAAUAUAUUGAACCGCAUGGUUCAAUAGUGAAAGACGGUUUUGCUGUCACUUAUAGAUGGAUCCGCGCCGCAUUAGCUAGUUGGUAAGGUAACGGCUUACCAAGGCAACGAUGCGUAGCCGACCUGAGAGGGUGAUCGGCCACACUGGAACUGAGACACGGUCCAGGACUCCUACGGGAGGCAGCAGUAGGGAAUC